rnacentral:lncRNA from 10 species
GUAGCUGGGCAAUGCCUGGGAAGCUGGGAAGGGGGAGGCAGAGGAAGAGGAGGAAGAACUGGAAGAGGAGGCUGCUGCAGAGCUACUACUAGAGGAUGAAUAAGGAAACCUCAUGGGGGGCGCUGGAGCAGAAGAGGAAGCAGGAGGCAGAGAGUGGGGUGAAGGAGCCAGAGUUGGGCCCUUCUCUGGGCCAGGAGGAAGUCCACCCAUACCCUGUCCCA